rnacentral:tRNA from 1 species
GGGGUUUUAGCUUAAUUAAAGUGUUUGAGUUGCAUUC